rnacentral:tRNA from 1 species
AUUUAAAUAGUUUAAUAUAAAAUAUUGAUUUGUGAAAUCAAAGAUGUUUUUUACUUUAAAUU